rnacentral:rRNA from 1 species
UACAGAGGUCCCAAGCGUUGUUCGGAUUCACUGGGCGUAAAGGGUGCGUAGGUGGUGAGGUAAGUCGGAUGUGAAAUCUCCGAGCUCAACUCGGAAACUGCAUUGGAAACUACCUUGCUCGAGGGUUGGAGGGGGGACUGGAAUGCUUGGUGUAGCAGUGAAAUGCGCAGAUAUCAGGAGGAACACCGGUGGCGAAGGCGGGUCUCUGGGCAGUAACUGACGCUGAGGAGCGAAAGCGUGGGGAGCGAACAGG